rnacentral:rRNA from 1 species
AGUGAACGCUGGCGGUAGGCCUAACACAUGCAAGUCGAACGGCAGCACAGUAAGAGCUUGCUCUUACGGGUGGCGAGUGGCGGACGGGUGAGGAAUACAUCGGAAUCUACUUUUUCGUGGGGGAUAACGUAGGGAAACUUACGCUAAUACCGCAUACGACCUACGGGUGAAAGCAGGGGAUCUUCGGACCUUGCGCGAUUGAAUGAGCCGAUGUCGGAUUAGCUAGUUGGCGGGGUAAAGGCCCACCAAGGCGACGAUCCGUAGCUGGUCUGAGAGGAUGAUCAGCCAAACUGGAACUGAGACACGGUCCAGACUCCUACGGGAGGCAGCAGUGGGGAAUAUUGGACAAUGGGCGCAAGCCUGAUCCAGCCAUACCGCGUGGGUGAAGAAGGCCUUCGGGUUGUAAAGCCCUUUUGUUGGGAAAGAAAAGCAGCAGGUUAAUACCCCGCUGUUCUGACGGGACCCAAAGAAUAAGCACCGGCGAACUUCGU